UAACAUCAGCUUUUUAGCCUUUUCUUCUACAGGCUGAACAGUUUCAGCUCUCUUCAUAUUGGGUGCUCCAGUUCAUUAAUUAUCUUUGUAUGUUUUUGGGGUUUUUUUGCUGGGCCCACUCCAGUAUCUCUGUCUCCCAUGUACAAUGGGGCUGAAUUCAGGACCCAGCACUCGAGAUUCAUCUCAGCACAGCUGAGCAGAGGGGAAGGAUCACCUGCCUCAACCUGCUGAUGAUACAAUGCCUGAUGCAGGCUAAGAGGCUUUUGAUGGUGCGUAUUUGAAAGCUGUGGAGAGUAACAUAUAAACCCCUCAUGUUAUUGGUAUCUCAUAGUAUCUAUGGCUCCAUCUGUGGGCUAUGCUGAACUCUUGCUGCACAGGCAACUCCUCUUCUGUUUAAAUAGAUCAGUUCUGUGAGCAUUUUUGCUACGUUAGGCCUUAACAUCAUGAAGGAUUGUCAGUUCUUAGAGAAGGAGCCUAUAGACAGGACUGUUUGCUCUUAUUGAGAUAAGCUCUGCAGUGUCUUGUCUUGGGGAAUGCCAGAGCAGCUGUGGAACUAAGGUUUCCAUGGGGUACUAUGUGAUGGCACUCUGGAAUAUUUCACAGGUACAUAGUGGCACCACUGACAGCAAGAGAGAUCUCUCCCCAGGUGUCUUCAUAUAUGGAGUAAGACGAGUGAGGAAUUACUCCCGUGGGGAAUUCUCCAGAAAGUUACUUUUUCAGUCAUCUCUAAUGAGUUUUCAUCAGUGGAAGUUUCUCUUCAGCCUCUGCACAGAGCUGGCAGUGGGACAGCAUAAUGCAAUGAGCCGUCUGGGGUAGAAGACAUCCAAUUGCAAGGAUCAAAGUUCUUCUUCAAAGAGACAGAAAGUCAAUGCUGUGUAAUGUCUGAGAUUCCAGUGACCUCCAUGGCAGUGAAACGGGAAGAAAGAUGAGCUUGUGAUUAUGAGGCUUAGGCUGGGGAUCUGGUGGCCUGGUUCAAAUUUCUGCUGCAAGCUUUCCCUAUGAGUGUCAGAAAGAUCCUUGCAGCCUUCUGGAUAUUGAAAAUCUGACAAGGAAUCUUCUGCCUUCUUUAGUACCGAAAUACUCUUUGAAAGUUGAGUGCUUUCUUCUCCCAGUGCCUCCAUGCCUGUUGAUAAAAUAGGACUGACUGUGGUUUCUUGCUUUGUAGAUGAGACAAAAACUGUUGGUGGUGGAGCUGCUCAGGCAGUGCUGCACUCUGUGGAUGCCUUAAUGAGAGAGAAUGUGCUAUAUUUGGAACUAUGUCCUGGAGAUGUUCAUGAGCAGCUUAUUUAAGGCCAUUUCUUAUGAGCCCCCUCUGAAAUAAAUGAAUGGCCCCCGUAUUUGAAAAUUAGUGC
rnacentral:lncRNA from 1 species